rnacentral:rRNA from 1 species
AGUGAACGCUGGCGGUAGGCCUAACACAUGCAAGUCGAACGGCAGCACAGAGGAGCUUGCUCCUUGGGUGGCGAGUGGCGGACGGGUGAGGAAUACAUCGGAAUCUACUCUGUCGUGGGGGAUAACGUAGGGAAACUUACGCUAAUACCGCAUACGACCUACGGGGGAAAGCAGGGGAUCUUCGGACCUUGCGCGAUUGAAUGAGCGGAUGUCGGAUUAGCUAGUUGGCGGGGUAAAGGCCCACCAAGGCGCCGAUCCGUAGCUGGUCUGAGAGGAUGAUCAGCCACACUGGAACUGAGACACGGUCCAGACUCCUACGGGAGGCAGCAGUGGGGAAUAUUGGACAAUGGGCGCAAGCCUGAUCCAGCCACACCGCGUGGGUGAAGAAGGCCUUCGGGUUGUAAAGCCCCUUUGUUGGGAAAGAAAUCCAUCUGGUUAAUACCCGGGUGGGAUGACGGUACCCAAAGAAUAAGCACCGGCUGACUUCGUGCCAGCCGCCGCGGUAA